rnacentral:rRNA from 1 species
GUGAUCCUGCGCCGAAGAUUUCCGGGGCUAAAACUUACUACCGAAGCUACGGCAUCAGUAAUGAUGGGUAGGGGAGCGUCCCAUACGGGUUGAAGCAUGACCGUAAGGACAUGUGGACAGUAUGGGAGUGAGAAUGUUGGCAUGAGUAGCGAGAUGUGGGUGAGAAUCCCACAGGCCGUAAACCCAAGGUUUCCAGGGGAAGGUU